rnacentral:lncRNA from 1 species
AAAAAAUACUACUACAUUAUUAAUGUCUCAACCUCCGUUUGGUUCGGGGUUAAGGAAAAAGUAGCUAUUCCAGGAAUAGAGUUAAGUUCAGGGUUAAAGUGGGUUAAAGUUUUUUUGUAUUUGGUUGGGGGUUGGAGUUAGUCUAGAAUAAUGAAAAAUAAUGUUUGGUUGGAGUAGGUGGGAUAAGAAUAUAAUGAUUGAUAAAGAAGGAUAAUAAUUGGUUGGAGUAGGUGGGAUAAGAAAAAUAGUGGGUUAUUAUGAAUAGAAAAUAGUGUUUGGUUGGAGUUUGGUGGGGUUAUGUGGGGUUACCUAACCCACCCAUUUUUUGAAAUGUUUGGGAAUAAUAUGGGGGUUAAGGGGUUAUUCCUCCCCUUAACC